rnacentral:tRNA from 1 species
GCCCCUGUAUCGGCGCGGGACUUCUAACCCGACAGCCGUAGAGGAUGACGCCAGUUCGAAUCUGGCCAGGGGCUCCA